CAUCACUACGCUAGAUGUAUAUCAAUAAGCGGAGGAAAAGAAACUAACAAGGAUUCCCCUAGUAACGGCGAGUGAAAGCGGGAAGAGCUCAAAUUUGAAAUCUUAAAGGGUUUCCCUUUACGAAUUGUAGUUUAAAGAAGUGUUUUCUGUUGGAGUUUCGGUAAAAGUUCUUUGGAAUAGGACAUCAUAGAGGGUGAGAAUCCCGUAUUUGACCGUUACUUUCCAGCUGUGUGAUACACUUUCAAAGAGUCGGAUUGUUUGGGAAUGCAGUCCAAAAUGGGUGGUAAAUUUCAUCUAAGGCUAAAUAUUGGCGAGAGACCGAUAGCGAACAAGUACCGUGAGGGAAAGAUGAAAAGAACUUUGAAAAGAGAGUUAAACAGUACGUGAAAUUGUCAAAAGGGAAGCGUUUGACACCAGUGUUGUUUUUCCGAAAAUCAAUUACGAAUGUUUUAUUUUUGAGAAGUUAUGACUUCAUCGGCUUGCUUCUCUCUUUAUGAAACUUUCUUAAUGCACUUUUCGGUUAACAAGUCAACAUCAAUUUCUUUUGUUGUAAAAGGGUAUGAGGAAGGUGGCUUUCUUUUCGGAGAAAGUGUUUAUAGCCUUGUGCCUCUGCAAUCGGAGAGAUUGAGGUCUGCAGCGUAGAUCCUUCGGGGUUAGAUACGUUUGUGCUAAGUUAUAGCUUUUCAUAGACAACUUGUUGACUAUGUUUAGUCUUGUAGCUUACUCGCAUGCGCUAUUUUACCUACGCUUAGGAUGUUGACACACGCGCGUGCUCG
rnacentral:rRNA from 1 species